UUUCAAUAAAACAAGCUAUAGAGGUAGGGACCUUCGUUUUCUUUUUCUUUUGUCAUUUUUAAUUCACUUCGGCAGUUAUUCUGGGUUAAAUAACAAGUUAAGAGAGUAAAAACAAGAAGUUUUAAAAUAAAGUUUGUUUGUUUAUGUAGAUUGAGUCAAACUUAUCUCCUAAAGAUACUAAAAGAAAGCUGCAAUGUGAACAAAUGAUGUAAGACACUACGUAUGCAAUGAGAUAACAAGCCACAUUUUUGGGUCUCGCUUUAACUUAAAGAAUCAUUUUUGCUUGUCAAUUUAGAAUCUUCGCUUUAAUCAUUAUUUUUUAGUUUUUGCUUGUCAAAAAAUAAAAAAUAAUGAAAGCACUCCCUCCCAGUCCCAAGUCUCUAUCUUACUUAUGCUGAGUAUUAUUAAUUUUUCAAAGGGGUUUGUGUUAAAUAGCUCAUUUUCACAAUUUUAAUAGUCUCUGUUUGAUAGAGUGUCUCUUUGUUAUCUUUAUAAUUUCUUUUUUGUUUGUUUGUUUUGUUUUGUAUUUUUUUGAGUAUAAACGAUAGUUUAAACUAGAGGGAGGGAGAUUUCUCACACACAUACAACUAUAAUGUCGUGGAGAUUUAAACUUAAGACCUCUAGUAUGCAAAUCAAUGUCAAUUUCCACUAGGCUAGACUCCGUAGGUUUAUAUUUCCCUUUUUAUUGUCUCUAUAGUUCUUUGUUUGUUGUUUGUUCCUAUAGUGCCUCUUUAACGUAAAAUGACUAUUUUAGAAUAGAAGUUGUGAAAAGAGACUAUUUUAGCCAAUUUCACUUUUUAAAACUAUUUCAACGUAUUAAAAAGAGAAUCGAACUCAAGUGCAAAAAGCCAGCAUACUGCUUCGCCAACUUACCUAAACUUAUCUGCUACUUCAGCACCUUAAAACUUUGUGCAUCACAGCUAUAUCCUCCCAAGGCCCCAUGGAAAUUGAAUCUCAUCAGCAGCUUCACAUGUUCUUCUUUCCAUUCAUGGCUCAAGGCCACAACAUACCCUUCAUAGACAUAGCCAAGCUAUUUGCUUCUCAUGGUGUAAAAUCCACCCUGAUAACCACCCCUGUCAAUGCACCACUCUUCUCCAAAGCAAUCCAAAGCAGCAAAAAUUUGGGGUUUGAAAUUGAACUUCUUGUUAUCAAAUUCCCAAAUGAGGAAGUUGGGUUGCCUCAAGGAUGUGAAAGCAGUAACUUGGCUAUGAAGGAAAAGUUCUUCAAAAGCCACCUUCCUGCUUGAGCCACAGAUUGAGCAGAUUUUAGACCAGCACCGCCCUCACUGCCUUGUUGCUGAUUCUUUCUUUCCUUGGGCUACAGAUGUUGCUGCCAAGUUCGGAAUUUCAAGGCUCAUUUUUCACGGGACUGGUUUUUUCCCUUCGUGUGCUUCACUGACUGUGAUAUUGCAUCAGCCUCACAAGAAGGUGGAAUCUGAUUCAGAACUUUUUACUAUUCCUAAUUUUGAGAUCAAGAUGACACGAACCCAAAUACUGAGAUUUUUUGAGAAAAAUUCUGAAUCAAUAAUGACCAAAUUAUUCAAAGAAUCCAGAGAGAGUGAGGAAAGGAGCUAUGGGAUUAUUGUUAAUAGUUUCUAUGAACUUGAGCCAGAUUUUGCAGAUCAUUACAGGAAUGUUUUUGGGAGGAAGGCAUGGCAUAUAGGCCCAGUUUAACUAUGCAACAAGGCAGCAGAGGAUAAAACAGAGAUCAGGGGAAUGGAAGCCUCCCUUGAUGAACAUGAGUGCUUGAAUUGGCUAAACUCUAAGAAACCCAAUUCAGUUGUUUACAUAUGUUUUGGAAGCCAGACCAAUUUUGCUGAUGUUGAGCUGCUAGAAAUUGCAUUGCGGCUUGAGGCUUCUGGGCAGGAAUUCAUUUGGGUUGUGAAGAAAGAAAAGAAAGAAAAAGAUGAGUGGUUGCCUGAAGGGUUUGAAAGUAGAGUGGAAGGUAAGGGACUAAUUAUAAGAGGUUGGGGUCCACAAGUGCUGAUUCUUGAGCAUCAAGCAAUCGGAGCCUUUGUGACUCACUGUGGGUGGAACUCUAUCCUUGAAGGAGUGUCUUCUGGGGUGCCAAUGAUCACGUGGCCGGUGUCCGCCGAGCAGUUUUACAAUGAGAAGUUGGUGACUGAUAUACAUAGUACUGGGGUUGCUGUUGGUUCUAAACAGUGGGCUUCAUUUGUAGAUGUGAAGAAGGAAGCCAGUGUGAAGAGGGAAGCCAUAGAGAAGGCUGUGACUCUAGUCAUGGUGGGUGAUGCAGCAGAGGAAAUGAGAGGCAGAGCCAGGACACUUGGAGAGAUGGCAAAGAGGGCUGUUGAAGAAGGUGGCUCAUCAUUCUCAGAUUUAACUGCUCUAAUUGAAGAGUUGAGGUCCCUUGGAGCUUAAAGCUUUAGCCAAAAUACCAGCAUUUGUUUGAGUAAGUAAGAAUUGUUUGUUCAAAGUUUAGAACAAGCUUAGAGCCUUAGAUUGUAGUUUCUUUCUGUGAGUAUCUUCAGCAUAUCUUAGACACGUUGUUGAUCCUAUUUUCUUUUUGAUAAAAUAUUCUCAUAUG